rnacentral:rRNA from 1 species
CGCGUAGGCGGUUGGAUAAGUUAGAUGUGAAAGCCCCGGGCUCAACCUGGGAAUUGCAUUUAAAACUGUCCGGCUAGAGUCUUGUAGAGGGGGGUAGAAUUCCAGGUGUAGCGGUGAAAUGCGUAGAGAUCUGGAGGAAUACCGGUGGCGAAGGCGGCCCCCUGGACAAAGACUGACGCUGAGGCGCGAAAGCGUGGGGAGCAAACAGGAUUAGAUACCCGGGUA